rnacentral:rRNA from 1 species
UAUCACUAAGCGGAGGAAAAGAAACUAACCAGGAUUCCCUUAGUAACUGCGAGUGAACAGGGAUUAGCCCAGCACCGAAGCCUGCGAUCAUUUGGUUGCUAGGCAAUGUGGUGUUUAGGUUGGUUUAUUGGCAUUUCUGCUUCACCCUAAGUCCAUCAAUGAGUACGGCUUUUGGACCGGCCCAUAGAGGGUGAAAGGCCCGUGGGGGUGAAGAUCAAGUUGGACAGUUAUGCCUUGAGCCAACCUUGGAGUCGGGUUGUUUGUGAAUGCAGCCCAAAGUGGGUGGUAGACUCCAUCCAAGGCUAAAUACUGACACGAAUCCGAUAGUAAACUAGUACCAUGAGGGAAAGUUGAAAAGUACUUUGAAGAGAGAGUAAACAGUGCGGGAAGCCGCUCAGAGGUAAACGGGUGGAGUUGAACUGGAAACCCUGUGAACCAAGCUAAUAGGUAUGUAAUGCGCUUGGCCAUAUUAGUUGACAUUCAGAGUUAACUUGAUUGUGGGCCUCUAACUUUUCGGAGCCUUGGUGUGUGUCGCANUUAUCAUGUGCUGUGCGCUCUGUUUGUAUCGGGCUUGCCUGUUAGUUCGCAUUUUAUGGGUGAUCACCACGACCGGCGUUGUCGCCUGUUUGCUGUGGUUAAACCGGUUCGGUUAGGUCAUUUUGGCUUGGCUGGAUCGGGAUGGCAGGUAGCUUAUUUGCUCUUUGAGUGAGUAGGUGUUAUUUGGGCUGACCAGUGGCGGAUUUGUGCGAUAUGUCGGAGAUGAUGGCUUUGGUGUGUGCAUUUUCAUUCCAUUGGUUCGGGUUUGAUUAACAAGUUACCUGCUUUAGUGUAGGUCGGUUAGUAGCUCGUUCCAUUUUGGGGUGGAUCUAGCAUAUGUCACCUAUUUGGGCCUAUAGUCUGUGGUGUAGUGGUAGACUAUCCACCCGACCCGUCUUGAAACACGGACCAAGGAGUUUAACAUGUGCGCGAGUCGUUGGGCGUUACUAAACCCAAAGGCGCAGUGAAGGUAAAGGUUUGGACAUUGUUUGAACUGAGGUGAGAUCCUGUUGUUACGUGCCGUUUAUAGCGGAGACUUUGUGAGCAAUGGGCGC